ACCGCCUCCCCUUCUUUCUUCUCACCCGAUUCCUGAUCUUCGUUUCAUUCUUCCUUCCGUGCUUGGAAUUGAACCCAGAGCCUUUUGCAUGCUGGACAAGCACUGCACCUCCAGGACUUAGUUCUUUCUCUUGCUUCCCGACGAUGAAGGGAGUGAUUUUUGCUUUGCCACAGACGCCUGCCAUAAUUUUCUGUCUUGCCUUGGGUCUCAAAACAACAGAGCUAAUUGAUCACAAACUGUAUUGUCCAAAAACUGUAAGCCAAGAAUCUCUUUUGGAGCCUGGGCCUGAGAGAUGGAGUUAGGUAACCCCGGCGGUUACCGCCUGAACCACUCCUGCUGGCUGCAAACAAAGAUCCUUGAGAGGGGCACCCAGUAGGUACUCAAGAGUUGUUUGGAAAAUGAAUGAUCAGAAGAGGGAACAAGCAGAGUGGGGCUUGUAACCUGUCCCCUCCUGGACUGUGAAAAGAACAUAUAGCCCGACCUCCCUGCCAACAAGCUGUACCAUUGGGAAGAGGAGAGCCCAACGGUAGAAGCUCAUCAAUGAUUCCCAGCCUCUGUUUCCAUCAGAAUUGCUUGAUGAAGCUCCUUUAACACAAAUAGAUUUACUCACAUUCCUUAACUGUAAAA
rnacentral:lncRNA from 1 species